CACGCGGGGGGGAGACGCAAGACCGUUUGGGCUUUCUCUCUCUUCAAAAAAGUUGGCGUCAUCGCCAGCUCCUCCACCCUCUCACCCCCAAUCGAGGUAAACGCGAACCCCUCCUAUCUUCUCCCUCUCUAUCUCCCUCCGUUCGAUACUUGGAUCCCGUCUCGCAUCCUAUCCCUUGGAUCCCAGUAACCUCCCAUGGAUUUAUCUUAGAUUUAGGGUUUCUUGCUCCCAAAACCCUAACCCCAAAUCCCCUGCUCAAGGAAACAAAAAACCCUAAAAUUCUCUCUCCGCCCCUUUCCGUGGGCUACUUACAUGCAUGGCGUCUGGGCCUCUGGUUGGGGGCGGCGCCGGCGGUGAUGGCUCGUGGGAAAAGCAGCGAUGGGCGGAGAGCAACAAGGUCUACACCCGGAAAUCCCACAACAGGACCCCCAAGCCCACAUCCAACCCCCGGCUCCCGCCCUCCUCCGACCAAACCCCCAUCACCGCCACAGCAGCCGACGCCGCUGCCAGCUCUCCCCGCCACCCGCCCCCGCUGCAGCCCCCUGCCCCAUCCUCCGUGGCCUCCGACGAUGAUGCUUCCAGCCUCAACCGCCCCCAGGCCCCCGAUGGUGCUCAGCGGAGCCAGCCGAACGGCCACAGCCGCAGCGUCACCAUCAGUCUCGCUUCCCGUUCUCGGCAGGAGAUCCGGGAGCUCCGCCGCAAACUCACCGCCGAGCUCGAGCAGGUCCGUGCACUCUCCCAGAAGAUUGAGACCCGUCAGGUGCUUGCCUCUGCCGCCGCCGCAGCUUCUUCUGCUCCGGCUGCCGGGUACACCCACUCCCAGCUCUCGGUGACUGACCCAAAGACCCCUAUCUCUAGCAAGACCCCUGGUUCGGUCCCGUUCCGCCGCCAGCUCAGUAUCUCCGUUGCCACCGAGAACAACCCUAGCGAGGGCGUGGAGAAGGAGAAGCGGACGCCUAAGGCCAACCAGUAUUACCGGAACUCUGACUUUGUCCUCGGGAAAGAGAAGUUUCCACCUGAGCCUCAUGGCCACAAGAAAUCCAAGCCUAAUGGGGGCAAGAAGCAUAGUUUAGGGGAGCUGGACUACGGCGCUCAAGCUGCUGAAAAGAAGCUGUAUAACCAGGCCUUCAAGAGCUGUGCCGCGCUGCUUUCGAAGAUGAUGAAGCACAAGCAUGGUUGGGUAUUCAACAGCCCGGUUGAUGUGAAGGCCCUCGGUCUCCAUGACUACUUCAGCAUCAUCAAACACCCGAUGGACCUGGGCACCGUCAAGUCCCGUCUCUGCACGAACUGGUACAAAUCCCCCAGGGAGUUUGCCGAGGAUGUGAGACUCACCUUCCGCAACGCCAUGACAUACAAUCCCGAGGGGCAGGAUGUUCACAUCAUGGCCAAGCAGCUAUCCCAGAUAUUUGAGGAGCGGUGGCCUGCCAUUGAAGCUGAGUUUGCCUAUCUUUCCCAGCCACCUGCACCCAAGAAGCCUCCACCGCUUGACAUGAGGACUCUGGAGAGGUCAGAUUCCACCAUUUGUCCUGUGGCAGUAGAUUCAAAGAUGAAGCCGGUGAAUUAUGCCCCGCAUGUUGGCCGGCCACCUGCCUUGAAGAAGCCGAAGGCGAAGGAUCCACACAAGAGGGAUAUGACAUUCGACGAGAAGCAAAGGCUGAGCAAUAACCUACAGAAUCUGCCACCAGAGAAGCUAGAGAUCAUUGUGCAGAUAAUCAAGAAGAGGAAUUCUUCUGUCAACCAUCACGAUGAUGAAAUUGAAGUGGAUAUAGAUAGCGUGGAUGUGGAGACGCUCUGGGAGCUUGAUAGAUUCGUGACCAAUUACAAAAAGAGUCUGAGCAAGAACAAGAGGAAGGCGGAGCUUGCGAUUCUAGCUAGGCAGGCUGAGCAUAAUACCAGGGAAAUGGUGCAUGAAGGGGUUCCAGAUCCUAUCAGAGUGGAAAUGCCUGACAAAAGUAAGACAGUAGUGACGGAUGAGAAGUAUGUGGCUUCUUCGUCACCAGCUGGAGAAGAAAAGAAGGGGGAUAAUGCCAGUAGAUCUAGUAGUUCAAGCAGCUCUAGCAGUGAUUCAGGAUCCUCAUCCAGUGAUUCUGACAGUGAAAGUUCUUCAGCAUAUGGAUCGGAUGCGGAACACUCACCUAGAACAUGAACAGAUCCCAUGCAGAAUGUUUGAGAGGCGUGGCUGUCCGCAUUCUUUUUCAGACGGUCUCCGCUAGUGGCUGUGAGCGUAAUUGAUCGACUUUCGUCCUUAUCCACAGUAAACAGAGAAAUCAUCUGACAUAAAAGCACCUUAAUGAUCUUGUAUAUGUUCAUUGUAAUUUGAGGUUGAGGUUAAAAUGCGUUCAGGAGGAAGUACAAUCGAAGUAUAUUGAUCCAACAUUAGAUGAUUAUGUUGACGAGGAUGACGAUCCGAUCAUUGGAUGGCUUGCAGGUCAGCAGCAGGAAUCAGAGCUUGAUGAGCCGGGGUUCUCUCCACAAUCAGCCAGUGUGGUAGUUAGGGAGAUCAGGAUGGAUCCAGAGCAAUGGGCAGAAAGAAAUAUUCCAUAUAAGAUUCUAGUUGAUCAGUAACAGCCUAAGGGGACACAGAGGACUUAUUCAUCACAUGACUCGAUGUCCGAUACAUCCUCACAGAGGUUUGAGCGAGAAAUAUUUAGACGAAAUCGGCAGUCAGCAACAAGACAUCCAUUCUCUCAAUUACAGAAAAUUCAGUCACAGAGGGGCACAAGGAGAGGAAAAGAAAAGACAGUUGCACGUCCACCACUCUCGAGAGUACAGGAGCUAUCUGGCUCAGAUUCAGAGAUCAGAGAGAGUGAUGAUGGUACUAGUAUUAGUAGUCAUGGAACUGAUGAUCAGGAAGGAACUGAAGGACAGGAGACCACUGCUUAUGAGAUAGCCGCAGGAUGAUAUUCGAUUCACCAGUGAGUUUCAGUUUACACAUGUCACACAAGAUAGGGAUCAUGGUGGACGAGUCGGUAGAGACCGUGAGGAGCCAAUUUCAUACAGACGACGGGCUCCUAGAGGUCGUCCAGCAUACGAUGUAGCUGCAGAUGAUCUUGCAUGUGGAGUAGGAUCUAUGGAUGUAUCUGGAUCAUUCUCGCAUUUUGAAUCCUAUUACUCGCAGUCACCUUAUGAUCCAUAUGGAUAUGGUGCAUUCGAGGCAUCGUCUUCUAGUGGUUACUAUUCUGUGCAGCCUGAAGCAUCUUACGGAUUAGAUUUUGCUAUCGGCAUAUUUGGAUGGGCUCUUUCACAGCCAUACCAUCAUUUUGAGGAUACUUCUCAGAGUCAGAGUUUGAGUGAGAGAUCUUAGAUGUCUUACGAUUCAGAGAUGAUGUCUUAUGGGAUGAAUAUUCAGGAGUAUAGUGUUUCUUGGUUAGAGGGAAGGACUGAUGUUUCUUCAGACUAUACCAAUGAUCCAGAUAUCUACGAGCGUCACAAACAUUCGACGAGAUAUUAAGUGCAGAGCAGAUCUCGAAAUAUUGUCUGCAAAUUGACGGCAAAUCAGGAAUGUGGAUGGAUUUUGUAUGAUAUUGGCCCAUAAACGACGGUGGCUUGUUUGCUUGGCACCAGCUUUUCCUUUGGAAAACAUUUCUGUUCUUUUCAUUGUUUCUUAAAGAUUUGCAGGACUGUAGCUAGGCUCCUGGCGGUUCUUAGCAUGCUGGUGGAAGCUGCAAAGGCAUUGUGGAAGGAUAUGUACUUGUCUUAAUUUAUGGUCCCUUUCUCAUUCAACUUUGUAUGUAUUGUAGGAUGUGAUUUAUAGGGUAGAGGGGAAUGCUCUCCUUCAGUCUGAUCAGUGGUCACGGGUAAUUUAGCCAGUGUAUCUGUAAUUCGUAACAGUUUGCUGGUGAGGUAUGACCCAAGUCCAGGUGGAUUUUGUGGUGCCAGUGACCUAGAAACAUAGGAACUAAUUUAGGGAAUGUGGGAAUAAACAAGACUGAUUGUGCCCUUUUUCUCGAUCAAUUGUGAAUUAUCUACUGCACCGUGUUUGGGCUUGCGUGAAUCA